UACGUAGGUGGCAAGCGUUGUUCGGAAUUAUUGGGCGUAAAGGGCUCGUAGGUGGCCAACUAAGUCAGACGUGAAAUCCCUCGGCUUAACCGGGGAACUGCGUCUGAUACUGGAUGGCUUGAGUUCGGGAGAGGGAUGCGGAAUUCCAGGUGUAGCGGUGAAAUGCGUAGAUAUCUGGAGGAACACCGGUGGCGAAGGCGGCAUCCUGGACCGAUACUGACGCUGAGGAGCGAAAGCCAGGGGAGCAAACGGG
rnacentral:rRNA from 1 species